rnacentral:lncRNA from 1 species
GGGCCUUUGUUCAGUGAGGAGCAGUCAGUCUGCUUAUAUGGAAAACACACUAUGCUAAGCAGAAAGCUGUCUGUUUAGAGGUCUCUUUUCAUCUUGAAAGAGAAGAAAAACAGUAGCAAAGGACUUCCUUGUCAAAUCCUAGUUCAAGUUGAACUUCUAAAGGCUUGGAGGAGGCAUUUGUGACACCAAAGCUUUUAGGAGCAUUGAAAUGAAAACUUGAAGGGGAAAGAAAGCGUUUUCCUCCGUCUGUGUCUUGUUGCCUGGAGAGCCGUACGAUUUCACUCGGCUCUGAUUUUGUGAUUAAAACGUUGUGCAAGAUUGUGGUCACAUCUGCACCCCUGGAAGAUCCGUGGGUGAGGGUCCGGCAGCCUCCUUUCACUGAUGGGGUCUGAGCCUCGAAGGUUCAGGGACAAGACUAGGUUCAUGAUGGAAACGGCAAAGUCAGAGAUGGAGCCUGGGCCUGCGGAUUCUGGUCCCAGGAAGGAGAGUUCCAGCCGGGCUGUGUCUCCAUCAGAAGUUCUGCAAGGAGAGAGAAUAAAAUGGGAAGACAGGCUGAUACUGAAACGCACAAGGACGCUUCACCAAUCCAGUGCCAAUAUUGAAGGUGUUCAAACUCCAGUAUAAACCCCUCCCAGUGUCAAGGUCCUACUGGGAAGGUAUAGUUGGAAAAUAAAAUCCCUUGCCAGUUGAAUCUCAAAGCAGUUAAGGAUUUCUUUAAUUGACAAGAUCACAGGAUUUUUGUCCUUCUAAAUUAAGACUCCAAAAUUCCAAAUGCUUAGGUUAAAGUGUUGGAACCCUCUUCCCUGAUUUCUUAGGCUUUUCAGUCUUAGUCUGAGUCCUUGGGGACUUGAGGUUCCUUAUGCAGCUACUAAGCUGGGUUACUUCCCUCUGAAAUAGGUGUGGUGUCUUCCGGCAAUGUCUUAGUUUAAAACCGAUUCUCUUAUGAGCCUCUUACAAUCUAAGAGUUGAAAGAAGGAAAAAGAGAAAGAGGACUCACAAGAUUAGUAUUAUUUUCCAAACCCCCAAAUGCUGAAAAGUGUCCCCAUCCCAAUCCUCAAGCAUUUCUCUAAGUUAUCUCAGGAAAAACAAGGUUCUCAAGCCCCACUCUAUUUCCAAAGCCUCUUAAGGCAGCUCUGUGGAGGCGGGGGUGGAGGAAACCCUUCUGGCUUGAGCCUCAUAUUGUCUCCAGCCCAAACACAUCAUUGUCUGGAUCCCAAAAGGUGGGAAAUGAAAUGUAAAUGCCAAAAACCUUCUAUCAGUGAGUUAAUUUGUGUGUUGUCCACUCAGCAUUUUGAAGACCUUCCUGGCCAUCCUGCCUUGCUUCUUUGAAAAGGACAGCUGGCUUCCCUUCCCAUCAGGGCAUGCAGAGCCUCUGAAUUCCCAUUGUCCCUUCCAGCCUGGUGUUCUUGUCCCUUGAUGCUAAACUGAGUGUGAACUAUGGCCACUGGACUCUGUCACCCUCUGAUGGAAGCAGGUGUUUUUGGUCACAGGACAUGGUGGUCAUUUGCUCAGUCAUGUGUUCACACCUGCUUUAGAAUUUCACCCCAAGGGGGCCUGCCUUCACUGGCCCCACACAGGUUUUGAUGGGGCCAACACGCCGCAUGGAAGGCCAAAACCUGGCUUGGAAAUACUGCAUUUAACAAUCUCUUAUGAGCGUCGGCGUCCUCCUAGACCCUGGGCUAGGUAUGGAGGAUUGAGAGGUUAUUAACACACGGGGCUCACCCGGUGGAUUCCCCACCUGGCGUGCAGGACGACAACACUGUUUCUGCAUCUCAGUUCCUCAAGGAGGAAAUUAGUCAGUAUUCAUAAGGUUUUAGAAUGGCGCCUGGCACAGCAAUAGAAAUCUAGUUUUAGGGUAGGAAGGAGAUCGGCAGAAGGAUAAUCAGGGUCCCAGCAUUUAGAAGGCCUCCCGAGGGAAGCUAAGGAACUUGACUUUAGCCUGAAGGUCACAGGGAUCUAUUGAAGGGCAUAUGCAGUGGAGUGGACUGCUUACCUUUUUAACUUAGAAAUCUCCCUAUUUUAGCCUGAAAUGUGUUCAUUUGAAAUUCACAUAUUGAGUCCUAGCCUCAAGAUAUGACUGUCUACGGAGAAAGAGCCUUUACAGAGGUGAUGGACGUAAAAAGAGGCCACUAGGAUGGGCACUAACCCACCGUGACUGAUUUUUUUCAGAAGAUUAGGUCAUAGAUGACACACAGCCCAAGGGGGCCCCCACCUGAGGACACAGCAAUAAGGUGGCCUUCUGCAAUCCAAGGAGAGAGACCUUGGAAGAAACCAAUACUAGGGACCCCUUGAUCUUGCACCUCCAGCCUCCAGGAGGAGAAAAAUAAAUCUCUCUUGCUUACCCCUCCCCCACAGUCUGCGCUGUUUGUCAUGACAGCCAAGAAAACCAAUACCGCCUGGUUUUCAGGACUGGUGGGUAGAGGGAAAUUAUGUAGGGAUGCCAAUUAAGGACAGAAAAGCACUGAUCUAGGUAAGAAAUCAUGAGGGGGGGCCUCCCUGAAGAGGUAGAGAUGGCAGGGUCAAACUGAGAAGAGACGCAGGACAUAGAAUUCACAGGUUUGGGGACCCAUUUGAUAGAAAAGGUGAGACUCUAUGGAUAAUUCCCAGGUUUCUCAUUUGAGUAAAAGGAUAGAUGGUGGUUCUUUUUAUCAAGACACAUUCUAGGAGUUCCCCUUUAGGCGCAGCAGAAACAAAUCCAUCUUGUAACCAUGAGGAUGCAAGUUCGAUCCCUGGCCUUGCUCAGUGGGUUGGGGAUCCAGUGCUGUUGUGAGUUGUAGUGUAGGUCACAGAUGUGACUCAGAUCCCACAUUGCUGUGGCUGUGGUGUAGGUUGGCAGCUAUAUCUCCAAUUCUACCCCUGGCCUGGGAACUUCCCUAUGCCAGCAGGUGCGGCCUUUAAAAAGCAAAAAAAAAAAA